CCUACGGGUAGCAGCAGUGAGGAAUAUUGGUCAAUGGACGCAAGUCUGAACCAACCAUGCCGCGUGCAGGAAGAAGGCUCUAUGAGUUGUAAACUGCUUUUGUACGAGAGUAAACGCAGAUACGUGUAUCUGUCUGAAAGUAUCGUACGAAUAAGGAUCGGCUAACUCCGUUCCAGCAGCCGCGGUAAUACGGAGGAUUCAAGCGUUAUCCGGAUUUAUUGGGUUUAAAGGGUGCGUAGGCGGUCGGAUAAGUUAGAGGUGAAAUCCCGAGGCUCAACGUCGGAAUUGCCUCUGAUACUGUUCGGCUAGAGAGUAGUUGCGGUAGGCGGAAUGUAUGGUGUAGCGGUGAAAUGCUUAGAGAUCAUACAGAACACCGAUUGCGAAGGCAGCUUACCAAGCUACUUCUGACGUUGAGGCACGAAAGCGUGGGGAGCGAACAGGAUUAGAUACCCCAGUAGUC
rnacentral:rRNA from 1 species